rnacentral:tRNA from 2 species
GCAGGGGUACCCAAGCCUGGUCUAAGGGGUUAGGCUUAGGACCUAAUGGCUUAGCGCCUUCGGAGGUUCAAAUCCUCUCCCCUGCA